rnacentral:rRNA from 1 species
GGGUUGUGAGGUUAAGCGACUAAGCGUACACGGUGGAUGCCCUGGCAGUCAGAGGCGAUGAAGGACGUGCUAAUCUGCGAUAAGCGUCGGUAAGGUGAUAUGAACCGUUAUAACCGGCGAUUUCCGAAUGGGGAAACCCAGUGUGAUUCGUCACACUAUCAUUAACUGAAUCCAUAGGUUAAUGAGGCGAACCGGGGGAACUGAAACAUCUAAGUACCCCGAGGAAAAGAAAUCAACCGAGAUUCCCCCAGUAGCGGCGAGCGAACGGGGAGCAGCCCAGAGCCUGAAUCAGUGUGUGUGUUAGUGGAAGCGUCUGGAAAGGCGCGCGAUACAGGGUGACAGCCCCGUACACAAAAAUGCACAUGCUGUGAGCUCGAUGAGUAGGGCGGGACACGUGGUAUCCUGUCUGAAUAUGGGGGGACCAUCCUCCAAGGCUAAAUACUCCUGACUGACCGAUAGUGAACCAGUACCGUGAGGGAAAGGCGAAAAGAACCCCGGCGAGGGGAGUGAAAAAGAACCUGAAACCGUGUACGUACAAGCAGUGGGAGCACAGAGCAAUCUGUGUGACUGCGUACCUUUUGUAUAAUGGGUCAGCGACUUAUAUUCUGUAGCAAGGUUAACCGAAUAGGGGAGCCGAAGGGAAACCGAGUCUUAACUGGGCGUUAAGUUGCAGGGUAUAGACCCGAAACCCGGUGAUCUAGCCAUGGGCAGGUUGAAGGUUGGGUAACACUAACUGGAGGACCGAACCGACUAAUGUUGAAAAAUUAGCGGAUGACUUGUGGCUGGGGGUGAAAGGCCAAUCAAACCGGGAGAUAGCUGGUUCUCCCCGAAAGCUAUUUAGGUAGCGCCUCGUGAAUUCAUCUCCGGGGGUAGAGCACUGUUUCGGCAAGGGGGUCAUCCCGACUUACCAACCCGAUGCAAACUGCGAAUACCGGAGAAUGUUAUCACGGGAGACACACGGCGGGUGCUAACGUCCGUCGUGAAGAGGGAAACAACCCAGACCGCCAGCUAAGGUCCCAAAGUCAUGGUUAAGUGGGAAACGAUGUGGGAAGGCCCAGACAGCCAGGAUGUUGGCUUAGAAGCAGCCAUCAUUUAAAGAAAGCGUAAUAGCUCACUGGUCGAGUCGGCCUGCGCGGAAGAUGUAACGGGGCUAAACCAUGCACCGAAGCUGCGGCAGCGACGCUUAUGCGUUGUUGGGUAGGGGAGCGUUCUGUAAGCCUGCGAAGGUGUGCUGUGAGGCAUGCUGGAGGUAUCAGAAGUGCGAAUGCUGACAUAAGUAACGAUAAAGCGGGUGAAAAGCCCGCUCGCCGGAAGACCAAGGGUUCCUGUCCAACGUUAAUCGGGGCAGGGUGAGUCGACCCCUAAGGCGAGGCCGAAAGGCGUAGUCGAUGGGAAACAGGUUAAUAUUCCUGUACUUGGUGUUACUGCGAAGGGGGGACGGAGAAGGCUAUGUUGGCCGGGCGACGGUUGUCCCGGUUUAAGCGUGUAGGCUGGUUUUCCAGGCAAAUCCGGAAAAUCAAGGCUGAGGCGUGAUGACGAGGCACUACGGUGCUGAAGCAACAAAUGCCCUGCUUCCAGGAAAAGCCUCUAAGCAUCAGGUAACAUCAAAUCGUACCCCAAACCGACACAGGUGGUCAGGUAGAGAAUACCAAGGCGCUUGAGAGAACUCGGGUGAAGGAACUAGGCAAAAUGGUGCCGUAACUUCGGGAGAAGGCACGCUGAUAUGUAGGUGAAGCGACUUGCUCGUGGAGCUGAAAUCAGUCGAAGAUACCAGCUGGCUGCAACUGUUUAUUAAAAACACAGCACUGUGCAAACACGAAAGUGGACGUAUACGGUGUGACGCCUGCCCGGUGCCGGAAGGUUAAUUGAUGGGGUCAGCGCAAGCGAAGCUCUUGAUCGAAGCCCCGGUAAACGGCGGCCGUAACUAUAACGGUCCUAAGGUAGCGAAAUUCCUUGUCGGGUAAGUUCCGACCUGCACGAAUGGCGUAAUGAUGGCCAGGCUGUCUCCACCCGAGACUCAGUGAAAUUGAACUCGCUGUGAAGAUGCAGUGUACCCGCGGCAAGACGGAAAGACCCCGUGAACCUUUACUAUAGCUUGACACUGAACAUUGAGCCUUGAUGUGUAGGAUAGGUGGGAGGCUUUGAAGUGUGGACGCCAGUCUGCAUGGAGCCGACCUUGAAAUACCACCCUUUAAUGUUUGAUGUUCUAACGUUGACCCGUAAUCCGGGUUGCGGACAGUGUCUGGUGGGUAGUUUGACUGGGGCGGUCUCCUCCUAAAGAGUAACGGAGGAGCACGAAGGUUGGCUAAUCCUGGUCGGACAUCAGGAGGUUAGUGCAAUGGCAUAAGCCAGCUUGACUGCGAGCGUGACGGCGCGAGCAGGUGCGAAAGCAGGUCAUAGUGAUCCGGUGGUUCUGAAUGGAAGGGCCAUCGCUCAACGGAUAAAAGGUACUCCGGGGAUAACAGGCUGAUACCGCCCAAGAGUUCAUAUCGACGGCGGUGUUUGGCACCUCGAUGUCGGCUCAUCACAUCCUGGGGCUGAAGUAGGUCCCAAGGGUAUGGCUGUUCGCCAUUUAAAGUGGUACGCGAGCUGGGUUUAGAACGUCGUGAGACAGUUCGGUCCCUAUCUGCCGUGGGCGCUGGAGAACUGAGGGGGGCUGCUCCUAGUACGAGAGGACCGGAGUGGACGCAUCACUGGUGUUCGGGUUGUCAUGCCAAUGGCACUGCCCGGUAGCUAAAUGCGGAAGAGAUAAGUGCUGAAAGCAUCUAAGCACGAAACUUGCCCCGAGAUGAGUUCUCCCUGACUCCUUGAGAGUCCUGAAGGAACGUUGAAGACGACGACGUUGAUAGGCCGGGUGUGUAAGCGCAGCGAUGCGUUGAGCUAACCGGUACUAAUGAACCGUGAGGCUUAACCUUACAACGCCGAAGCUGUU